ACUGCGAGGGUCCGCAGCUUCAUUCUUGAAGUCAGUGAGACCAAGUUCCGGACACAUUCUCAGGGCCAAAAUGGCUGACUAGAAGCAGCUACAGUGUGUAGCUCUCAGGGAGAGGAAGGAAAGGGAAGAGUAAAUACAGCACCUUCAACUGAAAUAUCCAGGUAUUCACAUUGGGACUGACCAGGGAAACAGCUGGACCCACAGAGAACGAAGAAAAGCAGGGCAGGGUGAUGGCCUGCACGAGAGUGACACGGAGCCAAGGGAACCUCCCCCUCCCAGGGAAGUGGGCAUGAAAGGUUCAAAUAGAAAAGCAGCAUGGUGAUGGGGCUGACUGUUCCAGAAUUGAUGUGCCCGUGCUCCGUGAGGAACGCAGCUCAUCUGUACCAGCAAAUGUGUUGGCUCCUGCCUGCAAUUGUAUCAUUCAGGUGUGCAUUGUAAAAACAAUUCACGGAUAAGCACAGGGAUUUCACUGUUUUCUGCUAUCUGGAUUUUCCCAAAGAUCCGCUAAAUCCUAAACUUCAUCUUGGUCUGAAGAAGGGCAAGUCCUCUCUCCAGCUCUUCAUUUGCUGACUCUCACUGAUGCAAGAAGAAUGAAGUCUCUUACCUGCCUUCUCCUAGGACAUCCUGGGAGAAACUGUGACUGCUGGUGUGUUCUCAAAACUCACCAACAUGAUUCUCCUUGUGGCUAUAUGACUCUAGAAAGGGAAUUUAAAUAAAAUGAUAACAAUUAACAGAUACUUUUAUGUAAACAACCGGUAGUGACCACUAUACUAGUUGGUUUGUAUUUACCAAAUUCCAUGUCUGAGGCCAAGAAUUUAUCUCUAAAUCCUCUGGGAUAAAAAUCCAGCAUCUCAUCUUUUUUUCUGCCAGCUGUAAAAACAUUGCAGGAAGGUACUGAGUACUUUUUGUUGUUGUUUUCUCCUUUCUUUGAAUCUUUGGCUUUGACAAGCAUGGAAUGAAAAUCAUAUAGAGCAUGGAGCUUAUAGCAAAGGAGAAUGUAGAGGCAAAGAGAAUAAAAAUGCUGGGAUAAUUUCUUGAAAAAUUACUUAGA
rnacentral:lncRNA from 1 species